rnacentral:rRNA from 1 species
GUUAGGAAUAUUCGUCAAUGGGGGGAACCCUGAACGAGCAAUGCCGCGUGAACGAUGACGGUCCUCUGGAUUGUAAAGUUCUGUUGUUUGGGAAGAACGGCUCUAAUAGGAAAUGAUUAGAGAUUGACUGUACCAUUCAAGAAAGCCACGGCUAACUACGUGCCAGCAGCCGCGGUAAUACGUAGGUGGCGAGCGUUAUCCGGAUUUAUUGGGCGUAAAGCGUCCGCAGCCGGUUUAUUAAGUAUAGAAUUAAAUUUCGGGGCUUAACCCCGUCUCGUUCUAUAAACUGAUAGACUAGAGUGUGGUAGAGGCAAGUGGAAUUUCUAGUGUAGCGGUAGAAUGCGUAGAUAUUAGAAGGAACACCAGUGGCGAAGGCGACUUGCUGGGCCAUCACUGACGGUCAGGGACGAAAGCGUGGGGAGCGAAUAGG